rnacentral:rRNA from 1 species
UACGUAGGGUGCAAGCGUUGUCCGGAAUUAUUGGGCGUAAAGAGCUCGUAGGCGGUUCGUCGCGUCGGCUGUGAAAUCCCGAGGCUCAACCUCGGGUCUGCAGUCGAUACGGGCGGACUGGAGUUCGGCAGGGGAGACUGGAAUUCCGUGGUGUAGCGGUGAAAUGCGCAGAUAAUCAGGAGGAACACCGGUGGCGAAGGCGGGUCUCUGGGCCGAUGACUGACGCUGAGGAGCGAAAGCGUGGGGAGCGAACAGG